CUUACAGGUACUGAGGCCACCUGAGUUCAGGGACAAUGGGUAAAUAACGUGCCUAUGAAGCUCUGUGGAAGCUGGUGACAGAACUGAUGGUGACAGCUAAGUAGGUGUGCUAAGGGGGAGUUUCACGAACCUAAUUAAAAUGCACCUCUUAGCCAUGAACCCAGGUCAUUCUCUGAACUGGAAAAGCCCUGCAUCGAUAUAGUUCCAACAUGGAGAAUAUCUGUUCCACAGUCACUGAAAUAAAACUUCUUCCUCAAGCUUCAGCAAUGUGUCGUUCUUAAGGUUUUAGAGGAGAGGCAAAAGAGUGUUUCCAGAUGUUUGAAAAAUAUCCUUUUAGGCAGAAUGCUCAGCAAAUGAGUUUUUACUUUGGUUGUACUUACCUUUGAGGAAGUUCAGAGAUUUCAAACUUAAAUAGAGGAUGUGAAGUCCACCUUGAAUUCAAUUUCAGGUCUAAACCAGUCCUUUGAUAGGCACCAGGGAGAAAAACAGAUGUGAUCUCAGCUUUCAACAAUUAAGAAAUCAUCCAAGUUCAGACAGUUUCAAUGUGAGUCUUCAAAGACAAUGCAUUGGUUUCAGACAUUAUGAAUCUUGUUCUCACAGUUGCAAAAUGGCUGAUGGGCCUCUACCAACAUGUCCAUAUUCCAUGCAGACAUAAAUAAGAAGGGGGAGGGCAAACAACAUGUACCAACAGUUUAUUCAACAAAUUAAUGACAAGUAAGUAUUUUUUAAGUCUAAAAAACAAUAGCUUUCCUGAACCCACCCC
rnacentral:lncRNA from 1 species